AGUAAACGCCACCACCUGAACAAUAUUAAAAUAUUCAAAAUAUUUCGGUAUCACCAUCAAAAUAUAUACACAAUGUUUCAUAAUUGUGUAAAAGGGAAUUAAAAAAAUAUUUGAUUAAAAAACAAGAAAAAUACUUUUUUUUUUUUUGGAUGAAUUAGCACUCAGCAGAAAAUUCCACGUGAUAGAAUUAAGUAAUCGAUCACUCAGACAAUCACAGAGAUAGGUCGGUUAGUUGUUGGGUCUGAAAUGUGGAGUCAUGAUCUUUUUAUUAGGGUUUUGAAUUUGGCGGGAAAGAAAAAAAAAAAAAAGGACACAGAGAGAAGAAGAAGAAGAAGUGGAGUUAUGGAGAAGAAGCUCAUCAAGGAAAUGGGUUUGCCCAAAUCGAUUGCCAACGUUUUCGCUGCGCGCAAUAUCACCACCGCCGAGGAAGUAUUAUCCUUGACUGAAUUCGAGCUGAUGCAGUUGCUCGAUGUGGGACUGGCAGAAGUUGCCUCCGCAGUAGCGCGUAUCAGCGAAAUCGCGUGCCCGCCAUAUCAAACCGUUCUAUCUCUAAUGAAGCAGCGGAUUCGAAAGGAUAACCAUGGUGGUCACCUUCCCACACGUCUGAAAGGGCUAGAUAAGGCCUUAUGUGGUGGGAUUCCAUUUGGUGUUUUGACAGAGCUGGUUGGUCCUGCUGGAAUUGGCAAAACACAGUUCUGCAUGAAGCUCUCGUUAUUGGCUUCAUUACCAACAUCAUGUGGAGGAUUAAAUGGGCGUGUGAUCUACAUUGAUGUAGAAUCCAAACUUACUUCAAGAAGGAUAAUAGAAAUUGGAACAGAAAGUUUGCCAGAAAUAUUUCAAAUCAAAGGAAUGGCACAGGAAAUGGCUGGUAGGAUCCUUGUUUUGCGGCCAGCAUCACUUCAUGAGUUCACUGAGAGUUUGCAACAAAUCAAGGUUUCAAUUUUUCAGCAUCAAGUGAAGUUGCUUGUGAUUGAUAGCAUGGCUGCUGUUGUUUCAAGGGAUUAUGGGCAUGCCGCUCUUAGACAACAUUCACUAGGUUGGCAUAUUUCUUUUAUCAAAUCCCUUGCUGAACUUUCCCGAAUCCCUGUUGUAGUUACAAAUCAAGUAAGAUCACAAAGCCGUGAUGAAGCUUGCCACUAUUCUUUUCAAGCACAGAGCAGAGGGAAAGCCACAGAGGUUCCUGCAGGAUAUGAUUCGCAUCUUGUUGCUGCUCUGGGGAUUCACUGGGCUCAUGCUGUGACCAUUCGUCUUGUGCUUGAAGCUAAAUCAGGUGAGAGAUUCAUCAAACUGGCAAAAUCUCCAAUAUCACCUCCUCUUGCUUUCCCUUUCACCAUAACAUCAUCUGGGAUCUCAUUGCUAAAUGAUGAUGGACAAGAAUUGAGAGGAACCGAGAUAAGCACAAUUCAUUGUCAAGGCCACAACGACAUUAUUAAUUUUAAUGGGAACGGGAAAGGGAAAGGUUGAAUCGAGCAAUGAGGGCAACUACAAAGCUCAAUUUUCAGGCAUGUUGACUAAUUGUCUAUGCCCAUAGUCACGCAAUUUGAAAGGUGGGAUAAAGAACAACCAAUCCAUGUUAACUUAUAAAAAGGUAAAGAGAUAGCAGCAACUUUUCUUGCACUUGGACAAAGAGAUGGAAAGUAGAGAGGCCAAUGCUUUUUUGUACGCAAGGAUUGGUACUGCACUGUACCAAAGACAAGGGAACGACUAAAAGUAGAAAUCAAAUGUUUAAGUGGAGGAAUGAUAGUCUUGGUAUAAAGACAGUAAAUUUGUGCUUCAAUUAGGUAAAUGAAAUUUUUUAUAGAAUAUUGCAGCCAUGCAUUGUAUCUGGGUGCUAAUCAAUAAGUACUGUUAACUUAUUUAUUUAUUUUAUAGCCUCUGAUAUAUACCAAUAUUUUCUA